ACGGAGGGUGCUAGCGUUGAUCGGAAUUACUGGGCGUAAAGCGCGUGCAGGCGGAUUCAUAAGUCAGGUGUGAAAUCCCCGGGCUUAACCCGGGAACUGCAUCCGAUACCGGCAAUCUUGAGUCUCGUAGGGGGGGGUAGAAUUCCAGGUGUAGCGGUGAAAUGCGUAGAGAUCGGGAGGAAUACCGGUGGCGAAGGCGGCCCCCUGGACGAAGACUGACGCUCAGGUGCGAAAGCGUGGGGAGCAAACAG
rnacentral:rRNA from 1 species